AAGUGUAAAUCACAUUCAAAUAUUAUUAUUUAGCCAUAAGUUUCAUCUACUCCCUAGAUGAAGGAGUUUAGCUACUCAUGAAUGAUUUAACAAUCAAACUCACAAGUUUAUUAAUGCAAAACAUCAUAAAGUACAAGUAUAAGAAAGAUAAAAGAAAGCUUAGCCAAUUAAAGGCGAAGCUCUCCAAUUCCUGCUAUGUUCUUGCACAAUAUGAUUACAAGUGAAACUCUAGGUACUUCUCCCAGAACUCCUAUCUAGAGAGAAACUAGAUACAAGAAGGAAACUAGCUACGUAUGGUCAUCCCCCUUCUCCCCAGUCUUUCUGCAUAAAAAAAAUACUCCAAGGCUCUAUUUUUCCAAGUCAAAUUCUAACCUUUGAUUCCCAAAUCUUCACUUUGUUAGCAUAGUCAAAAACCAAUAUUUUUGACUUGAAAAUAAGCCCCCUUUGUUGCCCUUUGGUCUUCUGAGGCAUGUGCACCGAAUUCUCUUACAGAUUGUAGCUGGAAAGUGGUUUGAACAUAAGAGAAUUGACUGAGCAAAUUGCAGAAUUACGGCCAGAAAACGCGCCUACACAAAACGCGGUUACAAGUCACGUUUUGUGUACUCGCGUAUUCACUUUGGCCUUAGUUCAUCUGCGAUUUUCUCUAUCAUAAAGGCCGAACUGGCUUUUGUGCAAAACACCAAAGUUGUAACCCUUUGAGUUAGCUUUCCAAUGCUCUAAAAAUCAUCCAGAUCGGAGUUGUCUAGCCUGCGAUAUGACCAAAAUACCAAAACCUGGUAAAACCCCUGUUUCAGAUUCCGACCACAGGGUGCAGCUUCUGUAUUCCAGCUUUUUGUCCAUGAAAAUGGCAGAACUGGAUUUCGAUGUCUUCAUACAAAUUGUAGAUCUCUUUCUUAGCUUUAAAAUGGUAUAAAGAUCACCUCAAUCCGAUAAGUGUAGCUCCAGAUAUGGUCAAAAUACCGAAGAGUGUCAAAACUGACUUGUAUUGCAUUUCCUCACUUGAACGUUUUUCACUUCAUUCUUCUUGUUACCACUUGAAUUCAUCACCAAAUUUCUAUUUUUCACCUCAUUUGACAUCCUUUGGUGAUUGAAUCAUCAUUCCUGCAUAAAAAUGAAGUUUUUACCAUUAAAAUCUCUAAAAAUGCAAUAUUAUCCACUUUUACCAAAAAAAUAUAUAAUUUUACCAAAAACCUCUUAUUUUAUUUAUAAAACUAAAUAAUCAACUCAAAAUUAACUAAUAAAAUGCACUUAAAAAUACGUAAAAUAAACUCUUAUCAACACGUAAAACACCUGCAUUCAAUGAUGGAGCCAAGGGGGCAGAGGGGGCCAUGGCCCCCUAAGUUUUGAAAAUUUUAAUUCAUAAUAUGUAAAUAUGUGUGUAAAAUAAAAUUGACCCCCCCUAAAUUUUUAUAAUUUUAGUUUAUAUUAUGAGAGUAUAUAUAUAUAUAUAUAUAUAUAUAUAUAUAUAUAUAUAUAUAUAUAUAUAUAUGAAUUAGUCAUCGAGUGGAUAUAUUUCUUGCAACAAUUGAUUAUCAAUUGCAAGAGUUACAUAGCAGGUUUAAUGAUCAUACCAUGAAAUUGCUUGUUUUGAGCACUGCUUUAGAUCCUAGAAAUGGAUUUAUGCUGUUCAAGAUUGAUUAUAUUUGUAAACUUGCAGAGAAGUUCUAUCCGAAUGAUUUUAUGGAGUAAGAACUAGUAUGUCUAAGAAUAGAACUUCAACAUUUUGACCUCGGCAUUCCAAAUCAUCAUGAAUUGCAAGAAUUAUCUGGUAUUCAUGAGUUAUGUCAAGGCUUGAUGAAGAUAAGAAAAUCAGUGAUAUAUCCUCUUAUUGACAGAUUGAUUAGACUUGUUCUUACUCUUCCUAUAUCAACUGCAACUACAGAGCGGGUAUUUUCAAUUAUGAAAAUAAUCAAGACAAAUCUCUGAAACAAGAUGGAAUAUAAUUUCUUGAAUGAUUGUCUAACUGUGUAUAUAGAAAAGCAAGUUACUGAAAAAUUUAGCAGUGAUUCAAUCAUAGAUGAAUUUAGUUCUAUGAAAGAGCGUAGAACUCAAUUUACUUCUAAGAAAAGAUGUUGAAAUUUCAAAGUAUGUUAACAUAACUUUUAUCUUUUUUCAAUUGAAAAUAGUUAUAUUUAUAUUACAUGGUUAUAUAUAUAUUAUAUAUUGCACAUGUGACAUAUUGGAGAGCAUAUUCUCAUAAUGUGCAAAUUGGAUGGUUUGUGAUGUUAUAAGAUAUUUAAUCAAAAGUUAUUUUUUUUUGUUAGUUUUUGUUAUGACUGUACCGCAUAUUUAUGAAUAGAUAUACCUUUAUAAUUAAAUUUAAUAUUUGAUAUUUUUAGAUGUCAUAUAUUUAAAUAGAAGAAAAUUAUUUUGAACAUAAUAUAUUAAGAUAAUUUUAUUAGGAAAAAAUUUUGGCCCCCCCCCAAAAAAAAUUCUGGCUCCGUCACUGCCUGCAUUUCGAGAUGGAUGUCAACAGAUGGCAACGGCUGAAAAAGGACUAGUAAAGCUAUUCCAAUUUGCAUUUAAGAAGAGAAAAAGAAGGUGAAAAUUUCGACAAAUGUUUUGGGAUGAUAAAUAAAGAAUAAGAAGCCCCUCAAGGCUGAAGGCUAUGGAGUGUAGAUCUUUUUCCACUUAAUAGUUGACUUGUUCCAUGCAUGGAUGAUGUACCUCUGGAAAUUUUCUAAAGAAAAUAAAGAAACCAGUAGAGAAGUUACCUUCUUUGCAGUUUCUAAUGGACGAGCCCAUUAAUUUUUUCCAAUUAUGUUCUUCAAAGAUUGCCCUCCUCCCUCAGAAUUGAGAUUGAUCUGUAACAGCUUAUUAGGGGUCAUUAGCAUGAUGUAGCCAUUUGGAUAUGUACUACAC
rnacentral:lncRNA from 1 species